CAAAGUGUCACUUCGGUAUCAAGCUGUCCCAUCCAAGAAGUCGUCUGGAUGCUAACGUAAUGUCACUUCUCUGGCCUAGACAUCGGCAGCACGUUCAGAUACUACAGAAGGGCUGGGUCACCGAGCCACAGGGAGAGGCCAGGGAAGGCGGGAAGGCGUUCUGCAAACCGAAGGACUAGACAGUGUCAAAACUCCUGGGUCUGAACACACAGAUACCAUUUCAGAACAUCUGAAUGGGAGAUCUGUUGGUCUGUGAGUAUGGCCUGGAAGAGACAUGAGAUGUUUUGAAAAUAUCAGAAGUCACUGGCAAAGCUUAAAUGUGAAAUUUUGCAUAACCA